AAUGAACGCUGGCGGCGCGCCUAAUACAUGCAAGUCGAGCGAGAAGACGUAGCAAUACGUUUGUAAAGCGGCGAACGGGUGAGGAAUACAUGGGUAACCUACCCUAGAGUGGGGAAUAACUAGCCGAAAGGUUAGCUAAUACCGCGUACGCUCCUUGGACUUCGGUUCAGGGAGGAAAGCGAUGCCGAGGGUAUCGCGCUCUUGGAUGGGCUCAUGUCCUAUCAGCUUGUUGGNGAGGUAACGGCUCACCAAGGCUUCGACGGGUAGCUGGUCUGAGAGGACGAUCAGCCACACUGGCGCUGCGACACGGGCCAGACUCCUACGGGAGGCAGCAGUAAGGAAUAUUGCGCAAUGGGCGAAAGCCUGACGCAGCGACGCCGCGUGGGGGAGUGAAGGUC
rnacentral:rRNA from 1 species